AGAGUUUGAUCCUGGCUCAGAUUGAACGCUGGCGGCAUGCCUUACACAUGCAAGUCGAACGGCAGCGCGGGGCAACCUGGCGGCGAGUGGCGAACGGGUGAGUAAUAUAUCGGAACGUGCCCUGGAGUGGGGGGUAACGCAGCGAAAGUUGCGCUAAUACCGCGUACGAUCUAAGGAUGAAAGCAGGGGACCGCAAGGCCUUGUGCUCCUGGAGCGGCCGAUAUCUGAUUAGCUAGUUGGUGGGGUAAAGGCCUACCAAGGCAUCGAUCAGUAGCUGGUCUGAGAGGACGACCAGCCACACUGGAACUGAGACACGGUCCAGACUCCUACGGGAGGCAGCAGUGGGGAAUUUUGGACAAUGGGCGGAAGCCUGAUCCAGCCAUGCCGCGUGCAGGAUGAAGGCCUUCGGGUUUAAACUGCUUUUGUACGGAACGAAAAGACUCC
rnacentral:rRNA from 1 species